AGCGAACGCUGGCGGCAUGCCUAACACAUGCAAGUCGAACGAGAUCCUUCGGGGUCUAGUGGCGCACGGGUGCGUAACGCGUGGGAAUCUACCCUUGGGUUCGGAAUAACAGUGAGAAAUUACUGCUAAUACCGGAUAAUGUCGCAAGACCAAAGAUUUAUUGCCCAAGGAUGAGCCCGCGUAAGAUUAGCUAGUUGGUGGGGUAAAGACCUACCAAGGCGACGAUCUUUAGCUGGUCUGAGAGGAUGAUCAGCCACACUGGGACUGAGACACGGCCCAGACUCCUACGGGAGGCAGCAGUGGGGAAUAUUGGACAAUGGGCGAAAGCCUGAUCCAGCAAUGCCGCGUGAGUGAUGAAGGCCUUAGGGUUGUAAAGCUCUUUUGUG
rnacentral:rRNA from 1 species